rnacentral:lncRNA from 1 species
AUGACCUGCGCAGCUCAACCCCAUCUUCAAGAAUCGGGCGGCGAUGGGGACCCAGACACCCAGUCAUCUCUUCCAGCAGGUCCAAACUUUAUCCAGCUGCUGUCCAGCAAUCGUUGCAUGCUUCUGCUGACAGAAGAGCGUCGGCUGAUGAAGGAUGAGAGAGUCAGGCCAGCAGCGGUCUAAAGAGCGCAGUAGGAUAACAGCUGCAUCUUGUGUCUCUCUGAAUGUGAGUGUGAGAGCCAGAGUUUGUGUGUGUUAAGUACUGUCUCACAUGCUCGCACAUGCAGAUCAGUGGAAAUCAGGCCAGUGGUCAGCCAAUGGCACGAGGCGAAAAAAGACCCGAAAGGCAAUCAUUUGGGGAUUUGUGAUGCGCACAGCUGGCCUAUAUUUAAUAAACAGCGGAGGGGGAUAGAGAAGAUGGAGCUGUCAAUCAAAUGAGUUGAAGUGCUGAUGCGGUUUGCAGUGGUGGCAGAAAUGGGCGGGGCUUCUCCUUAGCAUUCAGAGUUUCACAUGUGUUUAGAUGAACAUCUAGGAAUGCUUCGGUUCAGACAUCUUUUGCUUUAAGAUAUACUAUAGCCUACUUCUUUGCUUAGGAGGAACUUAACCGUUUAGUCAAACAUAUGAAAUACUAGUCAGAAAUAUUUUUUUAUAUUUUUUAAUGGGACAGUUUAUUUAAGUUUUAUGUUUUGCAUCAGAUGAUACAGUAAGAAUAAUGAGCUCACACCUGAGGAGGAAAAAGCACCUCUAUUUUAUUCAGAUGCCUGAACUGAACAAAAAAAAAAAUGCAAUUUGGUGCAGUUGCUGUUUUUUAUAUGGCUAGAAAUUAAGAAAUUCUGAGAGUUGGUCAUGUAAAUCAAUACGAUUUUUAUAAUAAUAACAGACUACUUAUAUAAAUGCAUAUAAAUAUCAGUUGUCACAAUAAUGUCUUAGUAAGAUGAUAUUGAUUUGCUCAGUUUUAUGAUCAACAAAAAACAAGAUAAUGCAAUGCAUUACAGUGACGAUUGAGAAAUGAACAAAUAAACAUUCCCCAAAAGGCUGACGAUUAUAUUUGAUGCUCAUUUUAACAUUAAAAUUCACAUAUGGAUAAUCAAGCAAGUUGCUUAAGUUUAGUAAGUGUUCAUCUAAAUAUUACUAAUAAUAUAAAAAGUAUUCAUGCAUUUACUUCAUAAAAAUCAUUAAAGAUUUCAUGGCAAAAAAAGGUGGACACACUUACAAUAAUACUAAUACUCUUACUUGCUAAAAACGCAGAGGAAAAUCAAGAGAAACAUGCAGAUUUAAAGGUCUGCAUUAGUCUGGUUGGUUUGAGAUGUGAAAUGAUUGGCAGGGCAUUUGAGCUGAGCUACAGUCAAUCAGUGCUAAAACUCAGCUCAAGCCAAAGCAGCGUCCCGGCGAUAGUCUCAUUAGGACCAAAGCUCAUUACUGAUACGCCGUGGAUCACUGUCAAUACAUUUGGUUUAUUAAUGUCUGAGGUCCGGCUCCAAAACAACUAAAUAAGCACUCAUUCUGAUUUCUCAAACGUUUUCACAUGAACACCAGCAUUUGAUUAUAAACGAUACUGUAACAUUAGAAAGUGAGAAUGUGAAAAUGUGGCGUUUUUGUUCUCUUAAGAAGCUAUUUCUACCUGAUCUUGACCUUUAGCUUAAUACAAACCAUACCAAAGAAAGUCUUGUGGAUUUACAUUGACAUGAAGCUGAUAAAAUUUUUUACAUUUUUGGCUGAACUUUUCCGCUUUUUUGUAUCAAGUGGCUGUUUAGACGGAUGAGUUUCAGAAGCAGAACAAUCCUAAUAUCUGGGUUUACAGGGGACGGCUGGGGUUGAACAUUUCAGGUUUAGCAGCAGCCAUGUUUUUAAUUAGAGAUAUGGAAAUCUCUGUGUAAUUCGAUCGAAAUCUCUGACGCACACGUGAAGGUUUUCCAAAGAAUUUCUCUGACCACUGGUAAUGAGAGUUUGCUGGACGUCCUGUGGAUAAAGCAAUCAUCCAAAAAGAGGUUUAUUGAAUAGACGCUUUAAUCACAUGACCAGACAAAACAGCACAGCGUGAACCUCACAUUCAUUUAAAAACACACACUUCAUGUGAAAACCUGACCUGAAAAACAAACACAUUUUAAUGUACUAACUAGAAUUAAAUAAAUAACAAAAAUGAAAUUUUUACAUAAUAUACAAAUAAAAUCAAAUUUCUGUAUUCUAAUUUAGAAACAUACUGAAAAAAAUCAAGGGAAUUAUUAUUAUAUAUAUUUUUUAAAACAACUAAAAAGGUAAACAAUGUGUAAACUAAUUUAAAUAACAUACAUUGUGUAAUAUAUGAAAUAUCUAAUAUAUAUAUAUAUAUAUAGAGAGAGAGAGAGAGAGAGAGAGAGAAUAAUAUAUUUUAUACAUUAGAAUAAUUUAUAAAAUACCAUGUCAAUCUUAAACUAAUCUGAAACUAUAAAAACACUGGAAAAAGCAAGCAAAGUGAAUUGAUUUGAAAACAUAAAACAGACAUAAAACUUUCUUGAAAUGUCUGAAGUAGAGUAGUUUAAAUCUGAACUGCUGCAUGUUUUGCCUUCAGUUAUUCUGCUUGUGUGUUUAAUGUUUAAUGCUAAUCCUAGCUUGACAGGUUAGCCUUUCACACACACACACACACACACACACACACAUGAGGCUUUGCCAUGUCAGACACAGAACGGGGUCAGCGCUCUCCUCUCCUCUCACUCCAGCCCAGAGCAGAGUCUGGAUCUGAGAUCUGAGUCACUCACUGAUCAUCUCUGACCCAGUCCUGCUAAUCGAAUGUUUCCCUGAGGUGACACCACCGUCAUUUCAUGCUGUCUGUGAACGGUCAGCAUUUCACUGUGGAUUCUUUAUUUCUUUUUCAAAAAUCUACUUCAAAUAAAGAGAGAAUCUGUUGAUUGAGCUCAAUGAUUCUGUUUUGCCCUUGUCUCGUUUUUUCAAGCCGUAAUAAAGUCUUCAUUUGUGCUUUCACUCUCUCGGUCUUAUUGCUAGAAGUACUGCGUUCUGUUACGCAAACACUUUUACAGAAGAUUUACACACACUGUCCUUAAUUCUACUAUAAUAUCUUUGUCUCUCCAUGCAAAUGACCUCAAGUUCAUUUAUCUGGAUCGGUUUUAAGCUGUUUUCAGUUCAGAAAAUGACAUAUACAAUAUUUAUAUGUAUAUAUAUUAGUUGUUUACAUAAUUUAUGUAUAAACUACACAAUGUUUUUCAUCUAAAAAAGUGCCUGUGGAUAAUUAUGUGUGUCUAAUAAAGAUAAGUAUUUGAUUUGAAUUGAAGAAUAUAAAAUAAUCAGAUCUUAUUCUCCUUUGCAUAAUUUCAU